rnacentral:lncRNA from 13 species
AUGCUGUACUGGGGGUACUGGGCUGUACCGGAGGGUGCUGGGCUGUAUUGGUGUGGUGCAAGGCUGUACCAGGGGUGCUCAGGGCUGUACUGGGAGCCUUGGGCUGUACUGGGGUUGUGCAGGGCUGUACUGGGAGCACUGGGCUAUAGUGGGGGUUUUCAGGGCCAUACUGGGGGCACUGUCCUGUACUGGGAGCACUGGGCUGUACUGGGAGCUGCACUGGGCUGUACUGGGGGCACUGUCCUGUACUGGGAGCACUGGGCGGUACUGGGAGCUGCACUGGGCUGUACUGGGAGCACUGGGCUGUACUGGGAGCACUGGGCUGUACUGGGAGCUGCACUGGGCUGUACUGGGAGCACUGGACGAUACUGGGAGCACUGGGCUGUACUGGGAGCUGCGCUGGGCUGUACCGGGAACACUGGGCCAUACUGGGAGCACUGGGCUGUACUGGGAGCUGCACUGGGCUGUACUGGGAGCACUGGACUAUACUGGGAGCACUGGGCUGCACUGGGAGCUGCGCUGGGCUGUACCGGGAACACUGGGCUGUACUGGGAGCACUGGGCUGUACUGGGAGCUGCGCUGGGCUGUACCGGGGACACUGGGCUGUACUGGGAGCACUGGGCUGUACUGGGAGCUGCGCUGGGCGCUUCCGCCCUCUGGCGGCCGAGCGAGGCGCUGCAGGAGAGCCGCGGUGAGGGGAGGGGAGCGCUGGGACAGAUGGGGGGACACAGCGGCACUGGGCUGUACUGGGGUCACUGGGGGAGUCCUGGCAAGGCCUGGAGCCAGCGGAGGUGGGGGGACACUGCGGUGUCCGUGGGGAUACUCAGUUUUGCUGGGGUGGCCACGAUGGCAGUGGGGGGCACUGGGGACAUAGGAGGGGGGCACUGGGAAGGCACACUGAGGGACCCAGAGCCACUGUGGGGGACUCACUGCGGUUGGGCUGCUAACACAGAGGUGGCACUGCAGUGUCCCUGGACGUUGGGCAGGGUUUUUUUGGACUGGGGGGGACAUGGCCCCCACGCAGGAACGGGAAUUGCUUGGGGACACUGGGAUUUCUUCUGUAGUCACUGGGGAGUGUUACUGGGAGGGCUUUGGAAACCUUGGGGAGGGUAUGCGGGUGUCCCUGAGGACGUCGUGCAGGUGUUGCUGGAAGGCCUGGAGACGCUGCGGAGGUUACACUGGGCUGGCAUGGUGGCACUGGGAGUGCACUGGUGGGUGCCUGGGUGCACUAAGAAGUGA